rnacentral:rRNA from 1 species
AUGAAUGUCUUGAGCUAGAACUGCCGAGGGCUUGGGAACCCUUGGACAGUUCGUGAGCUUCGCAAGGUUGUGAAGCAAGAAGGAUCCGUUUUGCUGUCUAUCAUGGAAACAAAGAUAGAGAGUAAGAGAGUUGAGAAUUUGAAGUUUACUUUAGGUUUUUCGGGUUGUUUUGCUGUGGUUAGUGUCGGUCUUAGUGGUGGUAUUGGAUUAUUUUGGUCCAAGGAUGUUGAUGUUACGCUUGGAAACUAUAGUUCUUCUCAAAUUGAUGUAACAGUCACGCAAGAUAAUAAAAGGUGGAGGUUUACGGGUUUGUACGGGGAGCCACGGACGAAGAAUCGUCACCACACAUGGCGAUUUAUGCGUACUUUGUCUGCCAUUCAGCAUGGUGGAUGGAUGUGCAUGGGUGAUUUUAAUGAAACUCUGCAUGAUCAUGAGCAGUUUGGGACUAACACGAGACCAGAGAGUCAAAUGAGACCUUUCCGGGAGGCGGUGUCAUAUUGUGCUCUCCAAGAUUUGGGAUGGAGAGGGGUCCCCUUCAUGUGGGAUAACAGACAAGAUGUCAUGGCGAAUGUCAAGGCUCUCCUUGACAGAGCCCUGGUCAAUAUCGAUUUUCUGGAUAUGUUUGAGUUCGCCAUGGUUAAACACAUAAGCAGUGUCGAGUCAGACCAUUGCUUUGUUUUGGCUGAACUCAGAUCUAUUGUAGCAAACAAAUGGUCUCAAGUGGCACGCUCGUUCCUGUUAGGGAACGCGGUAAUUUCAAAAAAAAUCCUACGAUCGCACAAGAUCUAUCUAGGUGAUUCAUAG